UUAAUAAGUGUUUUAUAAAAUAAGUAAUAAAAUGUUUCACUAUGUACAAUGAAAAGUACUUCUAAAUUUAUUUUUAAUAUUUUAAUUAAUGUAUUUAAUAUCUAUAUUUUUAAAUCUUGACAACAUGUAUUUGAAGAAGUACCAUCUUUUAAAAGCAACUUUAGUGCCUUUUUUUUUUUCUUUUUGUUUUUUUUGUUUUUGUUGUUCAAAAAAAUACUUUUUAGUUUUUUGUCAAACAUAAUCACAAAUAUAUAUUGUUUUUGGUUCUUGAAAGCACUUAUUAAAGCUUCAAAAACAUAUCCAAUUAUGCUCUAAAGUAAUAUUUUCAUUGAUCUUGAAAAGAAAAAAAACUGAAUUAUUUACAUGGGACUAAAAAUUAAUAUAAAAGAAAAAGGAAGAGAAGAAAUUCCUAGUUUUCUAUGUUAUAUUUUCAGUUUACAUAUUCUUAACCGUACACCGUAACAUCCAAAAUAAGUUGUUUUUUUUUUUUUAAUUUUCAUUAUUUAACUUGUUAUAAUCUACUGUACAAAAAAAGAAAAAAAAAAGAAAAAAAAGAAAAAAAGGAACCAGGUUAUAAACUCUCAAAAUGACCUUAGCCGAAGCAAUUAAAUGAGUUAGUUUUAUUACAUACGAUGAACAUUCUCAUGUCAUGUCUGCAUCAAUGCUUAAUUUGGUAUUUUCCAUAUAAUGUCUCUGUUUUAUUUAUUUAUUUAUUAGUCUUUCCCUGAUCUCUUUAACCCUUGGUAGAAGGAAAGUGGAAAAUGCAAAUCAAAUAAACAACAUAACUAGAUUAUAUACGACCCAAAUCCUAAACUGCUACAUAUACUUCUUGACUUUUAAGAGCAAUCCAAUACUUAUGUGAAACAGCUUUUACUGGAUGUUAUUUUAAACCAAAUAUUAACUUUCUUCAAAUUUUGACCUCUUCUCUUAAUGUUUUGCAGAUUUUAGUCGCAUGACAUCCGUACAUAAUGCUACUGAUUCACCAUUAGAAGACAUAUACGACUAUAUACAAGUAGGAGGAGGCACAGCAGGGUGCCCAUUGGCCUAUCAGAAAAAUAUCUGUUUCUUGUUCUUGAAAGAGGCAGUGCCCCUGCUCAUAUUAUUUGAAAGAGACGUGGAAAAAAAUCAUCUUCUCUUCCAAUGCACCACGUGACUAGUGUAAUAUUAUUUGAUGAAAUCUAUGUCUCUGUGUUUUCCUCUGUUCUGCCAUUAACAAACUCAAACGCAGGUUUUUCUGCAACUGGAGUCAUAUAUAUUGAUACGAAAGGCAGGACUCAUCGGGCAUUUAUAAGACAUGUGAGGUGGUACUGAGUGCGGGGCCAAUUGGGAGCCUCCAACUUCUUCUUCUCCGCGGAGUUGGACCAGUUCAUCAUCUUUCUUCACUGCAUAUACCGAUUGUUUACUCAAAUCCUGACGUGGGAAAUUUUAUGGCCGACAAUCCUCGUAAUAACAUCAACAUUGUAGGUCCAUUUGCAUUGGACUCAUCAACUGCACAGGUGGUAGGAAGUACCAGUGAUUUCAAUAUUGCAGAGGCUAUGUCCCUCAAUUUGCCAUUUUCUUUUCCUCAAGCUUUUGGCCUGUUUCCAAACUCCAAACUCCACUUCUCCUUUACAAUUCAGUUUGGAAAACAUUGUUCAGAAGUUCUCCGGAUCUAAGUCCACCGCUUCCCUCCAGUUGCUGUCAUCCGCCAAAGUGAAGCUUUACGGUUCAACUUCUUUUCUGAAGCAGUGGACCUUGCUCGUUGUGUUAAAGGAACGAGGGAGGUUGGUGAUUUGCUGAAGAAAAAGUUCCUGGAACAACUAAAGUUUCAAGUUCCUGGAACGACUAAAGUUUCAGGAUUUGGAGGGUACAGAAGAUUUCAAGUUUUUAUGACCACCUUUGCCGAAGAAUCAGUCUGAUGAUGCAUCAAUGGUGACGUUUUGUCGAAGCACGAUGCCGAACUUCUGGCAUUUCCAUGGUGGAUGCUUGGUGUGAAAAGUGGUAGAUGGUGAUUAUCUGGUGAAGGGUACAAAUUCACUUCGUGUGGUAGAUGGAUCCACAGUCAAUGCCUCACCGGGGACCAAUCCGCAGGCCACUGUUAUGAUGAUAGGCCGGUACGUUGGGCUUAAGAUUCUGCAGGAAAGAAAAGCAGCAAAGUAUGUGGAUACGACAUUGUGAUCAAUAUCAUGUUUUCAAUGAAUUCGAAAUAGUAAAAUAAAUCGAGGAAUAAUAAAUUUGUUAAACGACCGUUUCCAUGUGUGAUGAGUUUGUUUUGUAAUUCUUUGUUGUGUCUACAUUUAAUUAAUCUAUAAGACUAGGUUGUGAUAUGCUUCACUUGCUGCAA